CUCAACUAGUUUCAUAGAUAAAUAAAGAUUAUUCAUUUAAAGAAAUUUAAAAAACUUCAAAAAAAAAAAAUGCGAAAAAAUUGCUAAAAAAAUCAUAAAUAAAAAUAUUUGUGUUUAACAAAUAAGUGUUCACAUUGAACAGUAUUUAGAUUAAAUAAGUGUACCUCGCAUCAGUCGCGGAAAAAUAUUUUUUUCUUUUAUUAUUUUAAUGUUCACACUGACCGAGCCAUAAUAGUUAACCAAUGAACACUGAAUAUUGAAGCCUUUGUUGUUGAAUUUAAUAAAAGGAGUACUUCAAAUGAAGAUGGCAGAGUGAAUGAUCCUUUGAACCAAUCACCAAUUAAAUAAUAAUAAUCAUCAAAUACCGAAGAUUUAUUCCAAUAAAUCAACAAUUCGAAUAACGCAUGGUCUCACGUCAAGGCUCAAGUAAUCAAUCGAGGACAGUAUAUCGACAGAUUGUGAGGACAUCAGAGCCCCUGAAACCAUUUCCCUGUCCCACCUGCGAGAGAUCCUACAGUAAUAAAAGUACCCUGAAUCGUCAUCUACGAGAAGAAUGUGGAGUAACACCGCGCUACGUCUGUCGUUUAUGUCAAAAGGCAUUUGCCCAGCGUUCCAACUUCCAACGUCACGUCUGGAGUGUCCACGCAACCCUAAUGUGAGUCCUUGUGCAAAAGGACAAUAAUAACGAGCCCUCGAACGACCGCAGAUGGUAUAAUAAUGUUAAAAUGAGGUACCAUCAUCCUCACCGAGCUUCAAAAAUUUAAUAGAUAUAAUUAUCCACGAAGUGGCUGUUCAGGGCGUCGUGUCAACUACGAAAAUCCAUUCAGAUGUCACAUAUGUGGACGACAAUACACCUGGUCCGACUCCCUGAGGCGACACCUUCGAGGGGGUUGUGGAAAACAUCCCCUAUUCACCUGUCACAUUUGUAAACAGGGAUUUGAUAAAAGAUACGAUUGUGAAACGCACAUUGUGACAGUCCACCACACAUACCAUUGACACCAAUAUCGAUCUAUCGAUAAUCAAUCAAUAAAAUAUCUACCCCCCUCACCCACCCCCGAUUUUCAUUGACAAACCGACAAUUUAAUGGUUCGAAAAAAACCGAUAAACGACCAACAAAUGUUUUUUAUUUUCCAGAACCACCAAAAGCCGAUGAAUAUUCAUUAUUUUGAAUUUUACUAUUCCCAUCCUGAGGUGAAAUCACUGAUAACUAAUUAAUAAAUUAUAAAUUUUUUUUAGUCUUCGUCUGAUUGAAAAAAUCAAAAUCAUUUGUCCACGACUUCUACAUGUGUUAUUUCUCGUUUCAGGUCCUUACGCCAUCUUCGACGACUAUUACAAACGGCUGGGCCGUCAUUCUUGUCGAAGAUGUGGCAAGGAGUACAGAUGGGCCCAGUCCCUGGUACGACACGAGAAAGAAGAAUGUGGUAAAGCACCUCAGCACAGCUGUCCCCUCUGUGGCAUACGAAUUCGUCACAAAUGGGUCCUAAACAAACACAUGCAGAAUGUCCACCAGUUUACGGGCUCCAAUGGAAAGAAAAUUACCCGCUGACUAUUUUCCAUUGACAUUUUUUAAUACCUAACCGAACAUGUGAGACGAUAAUUGUUACGAAGAGUAUAGACAAUAAAAGAUGAUAUGAGAACGAUAAAAAAAAUCUAUUGUCAACUGAACUGAAAGGAAUUGUGUUCGAUCUCCAUCAGCAUUCGAUAAAUUAAAAUAUUUUCCAGAUGACCUCAAGUCCAAGGACACGAUUAUUGAUGACAAUGACAAUCCCCUAGAGUAAUGACUCCCUAGGGAAUAUUCUAAUAUAAUUUCUAGGCUUAAACUGGCAUUUACGAAUGUUUAAUAAUUUUUUUAUUAAUAUCUUCUGAUUUUUUUUAAUUUCAGAUGCCAGUGACUUCUCACCAGUGAAUUACUGUCCCAACUGUGGACGUCAUUAUCUCCACAAGUCAACCCUGAAUCGUCACCUGAAAUACGAAUGUGGAAAAAUCCCUCAAUACAUAUGUUACCUAUGUAACAAAGGAUUCAAACAAAAAUCCAAUCUCUUCCAACACAACAGACGUGUCCACGGUCUAUCGACAUAACAAAAAAAACCCCAACAAUUUAAUUACCAUAAAAUAAUUUUUUACAGAUUAAUUAAGUUGAGAAUAAAUCAUGUAAAUUACUGAAUGAACGAUUAACGCUUGAAUUACAAUUUUGCUUCGAAAAAAAAAAAUAUAUAUAUUAACACGCUGCUUGGCAGAUCCUUUGACAAAUCUCUCCCUAAUUAUUCAUCGAUCUGUUGAUUGUCAAACUAAUUAAAUUGUACUCGGUGUUGUCUGUUUUCAGGUAAUUAUCGUGGUACGAUAUAUCCAAGAAAAAAUGUAUAUCCGUGUCACAGAUGUGGAAAAAUCUACAAAUGGAGGCAAUCACUGCAGCUACAUUUACGAGCUGAAUGUGGCAAGGAGCCACAAUUCUCCUGUCGUCCUUGUGUUAAAAAAUUUAAACACAAACACAAUCUUCUCGCUCAUUAUCGUACAAUGUCACAUCACGCUACGAUAACAAGAUUAAAUCGAAAGACGUGAAAAUUAUUUAAUUAGUUGCAACGACUGUUUAUCCCUGCAACAAUUGUGGAAAAUUUUUUGCUAACAAGAAGACGAUGUGGAAUCACAAAAUAUUUUGUGGAAAAGGACGACAAUUUCCCUGCGAAUCAUGUGGAAAAAGAUUUCAACGUAAACAUCAUCUCAUGAAGCACCAGAGGACUGUCCACAAGUUCGAUAACAUUGUUGCUGAAGUUGUUGACAACAAAGAUUGGUUUUAUCAGUGGAAAUGAUAAUUAAUAUCACCUGUUCACCUAAUUAACCCUUGAAAUGCUAAUAAAAUCGUAAUUAUAUCCAUUAUCCUGUAAUUAUUAUCGCAUUACCAUCAUUAUGGACUUAAUCGUUGUAGAAAAAAUCAUUAAUUAUCGACGAAGGUUAUAAUUAUCCUACUUUUCAAUCGUUUUUCAGUUAUUCCACUGAAGAAGUGGAGCUGCAGCAGAUGCGGAAGACGUUACGUUCGUGAAUCAUCGCUCUACAAUCACGUGAGAAUUGAAUGUGGAAAAGAUCCGAUGUUUGAGUGCAACAAUUGUGGAAAAAAAUUCAAACACAAGCAUCGAUAUCGAUAUCACAUGCAGCACGCCUGUCGAUAUCACAAGACUACCCGGGACACCCAACAAUCGAUGUGAUUAUCGAUAAUAAAUUAAUGUGAUUGUGGAAUUAUUCGAAUUUUUAUUUUUCGAAAACGAGUGGACGAGUCUCGGGCAGAAGAAGAUAUUGUUUAUGUCGGAGGUGUUGACGAUUGUCGUGAAGAAUAUUAAAGGACUAGUCGAUUAUCGAGGAUAAUAAAUGCAUUAAAAAAUCGAUAA